rnacentral:rRNA from 1 species
GACGAACGCUGGCGGCGUGCUUAACACAUGCAAGUCGAACGAUGAAGAAGAGAAACGCGAACUUCGGUUCAAAUUUCACUUCGGAUUAGUGGCAGACGGGUGAGUAACGCGUGAGCAACCUACCUCUUACAAAGGGAUAGCCUCGGGAAACCGUGAUUAAUACCAUAUGACACAUUCAUAAGGCAUCUUAAGAAUGUUAAAGCUACGGCGGUAAGAGAUGGGCUCGCGUCCCAUUAGCUAGUUGGUGAGGUAACGGCCCACCAAGGCGACGAUGGGUAACCGGACUGAGAGGGUGAACGGUCACAUUGGAACUGAGACACGGUCCAAACCCCUACGGGAGGCAGCAGUGGGGAAUAUUGCACAAUGGAGGGAACUCUGAUGCAGCGACGCCGCGUGAGCGAUGAAGGAAUUCGUUUCGUAAAGCUCUGUUCUAUGGGAAGAAAAGGACUGUACCAUAGGAGAAAGCCCCGGCUAAAUACGUG